rnacentral:tRNA from 1 species
GGCGCGUUAGCAAAUCGGUUAUGCACUGGACUGCAAAUCCAUUUAGGCCGGUUCGACUCCGGCACGCGCCUCCA